CGUGAACGUAUUAUAAAACAUUUUUAAUGUUAUUGACACGAGAAUUCGAAAACGGCCACCUCCAAUGAUAUUUAUCAACCGUGAUUACAAUUGCUUUGGUAAAAAUCAGCAUUCGUAACCAGUUACUUGGUGCUGUUGUAAGCGGUGCACGUAUAUAAGACACUUGUUGAGUUCAACAUAAAAUCCGAAAUAUGACAUAUGCUUUCAUAAUAGUGGUGUCCGUGGCAAUAACAUUAAAACUAUUGUUUAUGAGCUUCUCUUUAUACUUUACCCUCAAACGUGAUGGAUCAGAAACGAAGGAGGGAUCAACAAAGAAGAACGGAAAAGGAAUAAUGGCAAAGUGCAAACAAAUCACUCGAGCAUUCAUGCCAAAAAUGAAUUGUUGUCCGGAUGGAAAAGACAAAUAUAACUUAAACUACAGUUGAAACUCUUUAUCAAUUUGUAAUUUAGAUAUUCAUUAUACUAUUCAUCAAUUUUAAUAAUUACUUCCACGUAUGUACAUAUAGGUGUGGCUGCUAAAUUCAUAUUAUCUAUGCAUACUUAUAUUUUUAAUUUGAUGCGAAUAUUAUUUGUACUGUAAAAACUUUUUAUUAAAUGUAAAGUAAAAAAUAUAAAAUAGUUUGUUAUCCGAAGCCGCAGCUCCAAUGCUGGACUAACUUUAUAUACUUACUAACCUAUUGUCGAUAACAUUUAGAAAUAACGUUUCUCUCAGAUUCGAUAUGGAACUGAGAUUGCUCUCACAAAUUUUUGUGCGGAUGGAUAUGGCUGGCUUCAGUUUUUACUUUUUACAUACGAAACGUUUUUGGUAUUAAACAUAUAAAAAUAUAUUUAAGGAUUUAAUAAAA